rnacentral:rRNA from 1 species
UACGUAGGGUGCAAGCGUUGUCCGGAAUUAUUGGGCGUAAAGAGCUCGUAGGCGGUUUGUUGCGUCGGCUGUGAAAUCCCGAGGCUCAACCUCGGGUCUGCAGUCGAUACGAGCAAACUAGAGUGUUGCAUGGGAGACUGGAAUUCCUGGUGUAGCGGUGAAAUGCGCAGAUAUCAGGAGGAACACCGGUGGCGAAGGCGGGUCUCUGGGCCGUAACUGACGCUGAGGAGCGAAAGCAUGGGGAGCGAACAGG